UAUUCCCUACGGGACGCAGCAGUGGGGAAUAUUGCACAAUGGGGGGAACCCUGAUGCAGCGACGCCGCGUGGGCGAGGAAGUAUUUCGGUAUGUAAAGCCCUAUCGGCAGGGAAGAAGAAAUGACGGUACCUGAAUAAGAAGCACCGGCUAAAUACGUGCCAGCCGCGGUAAUACGUAUGGUGCAAGCGUUAUCCGGAUUUACUGGGCGUAAAGGGAGCGCAGGCGGCGCGCCAAGUCUGAUGUGAAACCCCGGGGCUCAACCCCGGGCAUGCAUUGGAAACUGGCGGGCUGGAGGGCCGGGGGG
rnacentral:rRNA from 1 species